rnacentral:rRNA from 1 species
GGCUCAGGACGAACGCUGGCGGCGUGCCUAAUACAUGCAAGUCGAACGGUCUUUCUAUGGAAGCUUGCUUCCACUGAGAAGAUAGUGGCGAACGGGUGAGUAACACGUGGGUAACCUGCCCAUAAGAGGGGGAUAACAUCCGGAAACGGGUGCUAAUACCGCAUAGUUUUCUUGAUCGCAUGAUUGAGAAAGGAAAGACGGCCUUUGUGCUGUCGCUUAUGGAUGGACCCGCGGCGUAUUAGUUAGUUGGUGAGGUAACGGCUCACCAAGACGAUGAUACGUAGCCGACCUGAGAGGGUGAUCGGCCACAUUGGGACUGAGACACGGCCCAAACUCCUACGGGAGGCAGCAGUAGGGAAUCUUCCGCAAUGGACGAAAGUCUGACGGAGCAACGCCGCGUGAGUGAAGAAAGGUUUUCGGAUCGUAAAACUCUGUUGUCAGAGAAGAACAAGUUGGAGAGUAACUGCUCCAGCCUUGACGGUAUCUGACCAGAAAGCCACGGCUAACUACGUGCCAGCAGCGGC